GUUUUCGGACUGAACUUUUUAGUUUAGUGGCGGACGGGUGAGUAACGCGUGGAUAACCUGCCUUUCACAGGGGGAUAGCAGCUGGAAACGGCUGGUAAUACCGCAUACGCUCAUAUCACCGCAUGGUGGUGUGAGGAAAGAUUUAUCGGUGAGAGAUGGAUCCGCGUCUGAUUAGCCAGUUGGCGGGGUAACGGCCCACCAAAGCGACGAUCAGUAGCCGGCCUGAGAGGGCGGACGGCCACAUUGGGACUGAGACACGGCCCAGACUCCUACGGGAGGCAGCAGUGGGGGAUAUUGCACAAUGGGCGCAAGCCUGAUGCAGCGACGCCGCGUGAGUGAAGAAGUAUUUCGGUAUGUAAAGCUCUAUCAGCAGGGAAGAAAGACCCAUUUAGGGAGAUGACGGUACCUGACUAAGAAGCCCCGGCUAACUACGUGCCAGCAGCCGCGGUAAUACGUAGGGGGCAAGCGUUAUCCGGAUUUACUGGGUGUAAAGGGAGCGCAGACGGAACUGCAAGUCUGAUGUGAAAGCCCGGGGCUCAACCGCGGGACUGCAUUGGAAACUGUAGAUCUGGAGUGCCGGAGGGGCAAGCGGAAUUCCUGGUGUAGCGGUGAAAUGCGUAGAUAUCAGGAGGAACACCGGCGGCGAAGGCGGCUUGCUGGACGGCAACUGACGUUGA
rnacentral:rRNA from 1 species